rnacentral:tRNA from 1 species
GGAUUUAGCUCAGUGGUAGAGCGCUUGCCUAGCAAGCACAAGACCCUGGGUUCGGUCCCCAGAUCUG